rnacentral:lncRNA from 1 species
CCCUCUCUCUCUCAAUCUCUCUCUCUCUCUUUGUAAAUGUUCUCUCUCUCUCUCUCUCUCUGAACAUCUUCCCACCUCCUUCCCCACUCUCCCUAUCUCACUCUCUCUCUCUCUGGACGCCCUAGUCCAGACCCAACCACCCCUCUCCCAAACCUCGCUCCUCACUAUCACGCCGCCCCCGACUCGCCGCCCUCCUUUGUGCGCGCAACCCACCUCUCACACCACCCCCCGCUCUCCGCGUCGCCCCUCUCUAUCAAACGAGGUAUGACCUUUUCUUCUCAGAUUUUUUUUUUUGACUUUUUUUUUUGUUAUUGCAACAUAAAAAAAUAGAUCUACUAUUUUUAUUUUUCAUAUGUUUUUUUUUUAAUUUGUUUCUUGAUUUUUUGUNCUAUAUAUAUAUAUAUAUAUAUAUAUAUAUAUAUAUAUAUAUAUAUAUAGAGUCAGGCUGCUAUGCUAUUGAUAGCAUAGUAGCACUCAUGCUAGUGAGUUUUUAACCACUAGAUCGCUUCAAGAUCUGUGCGGGGCUUUUGUGGGAGGUUAACGGAAAGAGAGCCCGUUAAGUCACGUUUGUUGCCCUCUCUCUCUCUCUUCGUAAAUGUUGUCUCUCUCUCUCUCUCUCUCUCUCUCUCUCUCUCUGAACAUCUUCCCACCUCCUUCCCCACUCUCCCUAUCUCACUCUCUCCCUCUCUGGACGCCCUAGUCCAGACCCAACAACCCCUCUCCCAAACCUCGCUCCUCACUAUCACGCCGCCCCCGGCUCGCCGCCCUCCUUCUCUGUGCGCGCAACCCCGGCUCGCCACCCUCCUUCUCUGUGCGCGCAACCCACCUCUCACACCACCCCCCGCUCUCCGCGUUGCCCCUCUCUAUCAAAC